AUCAUACCGUGUUUUAAGAAGUCUGUUACAGAUGUGGUGAAGGCUUCAGGCAUGAUGAUGCCUUUGCUUGAUGCUCCAGUUGGAGAUGCUGAUACUGAAUCUUUCAAGAGAGGAUGGGACUGACUGAGGAUGACCCAUGGUUUGGAGUCCCUGGGUGGCAUGGUGCCCACCUGGUGCAGGAUAGGAGUAGCUGAGAGGACCAGAUGGUUUAUAAUAAUGCUUUGCUCUGCUUUACUGUUUUCCAUGACCAAAGUUGUAUCCUAUAUCUUACAUGUCAAUAAACAAUAAAGUUGUAUCCUGUUUUUGAUAAGUGACACCCUUAUGGGUGUCAAAAGGGGAAGACAAAAGCAUAUAUCACUUGUUGAUUUUUUUUUCUAUUUUUCUUGGUUGAUUUUUCUUUUCUGUUUUUCUGUUUUUCUGUUCUUUUUAUUAUUUUCAUGAAAUGCUAUUAACAUAUUACUAUGUUGGGACCGCUGAAAUAAAGGAUAAUGAGUGACACCCUAGGGGGUGUCAGAAGGGGGACUUAAAUUUAACACCAUUUUCUUUUAUUCUGUUUUUAAAUUAACUGUGUCCUAGGUGUCUGGUAGCCAAUCUAGUACAUAGUGGGAUCGAAUGGAGGACAUGAAGGUAUUUUAAACUUUGUAACUGUUAUAUGAUUCAUUGCUGAAUUUUUAUUCACACCCUUGGGGAAAAAGUGAAAAGGGGGGAUUGUGGGAUUCUGUGUUUUACAUUAUAGCCAUAACCAUAUAUAUAUAUAUGAUUAAAUAUUAUCUGAUGUUGGCUGUGUGAAGUAUCUGCAUUUGUGCACUUGAGCAUCAUCAUGAGAUUAAGCAACUGCUUGCUACAUCUACUUGCCUGUUUGUGUGUGUGACAAGAACUGAGUAACAUGGUGUGACCUGCAUGUUGCAAAAUUAUACGGAGACUUGAUUACACACAGGUGGAUUGUAUUUAUCAUCAUUAGUCAUUUAGGUCAACAUUGGAUCAUUCAGAGAUCCUCACUGAACUUCUGGAGAGAGUUUGCUGCA
rnacentral:lncRNA from 1 species